GACGAACGCUGGCGGCGUGCUUAACACAUGCAAGUCGAACGGAAAGGCCCUUUUGGGGGUGCUCGAGUGGCGAACGGGUGAGUAACACGUGGGUGAUCUGCCCUGCACUUUGGGAUAAGCCUGGGAAACUGGGUCUAAUACCGGAUAGGACCAUGGCCUGCAUGGGUUGUGGUGGAAAGCUUUUGCGGUGUGGGAUGGGCCCGCGGCCUAUCAGCUUGUUGGUGGGGUGAUGGCCUACCAAGGCGACGACGGGUAGCCGGCCUGAGAGGGUGACCGGCCACACUGGGACUGAGAUACGGCCCAGACUCCUACGGGAGGCAGCAGUGGGGAAUAUUGCACAAUGGGCGCAAGCCUGAUGCAGCGACGCCGCGUGAGGGAUGACGGCCUUCGGGUUGUAAACCUCUUUCAGCACAGACGAAGCGCAAGUGACGGUAUGUGCAGAAGAAGGACCGGCCAACUACGUGCCAGCCGCCGCCGUAAAAC
rnacentral:rRNA from 1 species